UCUACUGUGCAGGUUCUGGAUAUCACACC
rnacentral:piRNA from 1 species